rnacentral:rRNA from 1 species
AUUGAACGCUGGCGGCAGGCUUAACACAUGCAAGUCGAACGAGCGGCGUACGGGUGAGUAAUUCCUGGGAAUCUUGCUUAUGGAGGGGGAUAACUACGGGAAACUGUAGCUAAUACCUCCUACCAUCGAAUGUGCCCAGGUGGGCUUAGUUAGUUGGUGAGGUAAAGGCUCACCAAGCCGACGAUCUCUAGCUGGUCUGAGAGGAUGACCAGCCACACUGGGACUGAGACACGGCCCAGACUCCUACGGGAGGCAGCAGUGGGGAAUAUUGCGCAAUGGGGGCAAGCUGAUGCAGCCAUGCCGCGUGAAUGAAGAAGGCCUUCGGGUUGUAAAGUUCUUUCAGUAAGGAGGCGUUAACUGCAGAAGAAGCACCGGCUAACUCCGUGCCAGCAGCCGCGGUAAUAC